GGCAUGCUUAACACAUGCAAGUCGAACGGUAACAUGGAGAGCUUGCUCUCUGAUGACGAGUGGCGGACGGGUGAGUAAGGCGUAGGAAUCUGCCCAACAGUGGGGAAUAACCUGGGGAAACCCAGGCUAAUACCGCAUACGCUCUGUACUUAGGUAGAGAGGAAAGCGGGGGCCCUUUUCGAAGGCCUCGCGCUGAUGGAUGAGCCUACGUCCGAUUAGCUAGUUGGUAGGGUAAGAGCCUACCAAGGCGACGAUCGGUAGCUGGUCUUAGCGGAUGAUCAGCCACACUGGGACUGAGACACGGCCCAGACUCCUACGGGAGGCAGCAGUGGGGAAUAUUGGACAAUGGGGGCAACCCUGAUCCAGCAAUGCCGCGUGUGUGAAGAAGGCCUGCGGGUUGUAAAGCACUUUCAGUGGUGAGGAAAGCUCACGCGUUAAUAGCGCGGGAGGGUGACGUUAGCCACAGAAGCAGCACCGGCUAACUCCGUG
rnacentral:rRNA from 1 species